rnacentral:rRNA from 1 species
GACGUAGGGCGCGAGCGUUGUCCGGAUUUAUUGGGCGUAAAGAGCUCGUAGGCGGCUUGUCGCGUCGACUGUGAAAUCCCGUGGCUCAACUGCGGGUCUGCAGUCGAUACGGGCAGGCUAGAGUUCGGUAGGGGAGACUGGAAUUCCUGGUGUAGCGGUGAAAUGCGCAGAUAUCAGGAAGAACACCCGUGGCGAAGGCGGCAUCCUGGACCGACACUGACGCUGAGGCGCGAAAGCCAGGGGAGCAAACGGG